rnacentral:rRNA from 1 species
GUUCAGUGAAAUCGAGUAGGGCGGGACACGUGAUAUCCUGUCUGAAUAUGGGGGGACCAUCCUCCAAGGCUAAAUACUACUGACUGACCGAUAGUGAACCAGUACCGUGAGGGAAAGGCGAAAAGAACCCCUGUGAGGGGAGUGAAAUAGAACCUGAAACCGUGUACGUACAAGCAGUAGGAGCAGGCUUUGUCCUGUGACUGCGUACCUUUUGUAUAAUGGGUCAGCGACUUAUAUUCAGUGGCAAGGUUAACCAUCUAGGGGAGCCGUAGGGAAACCGAGUCUUAACUGGGCGUUCAGUCUCUGGAUAUAGACCCGAAACCAGGUGAUCUAGCCAUGGGCAGGUUGAAGGUUGAGUAACAUCAACUGGAGGACCGAACCGACUAAUGUUGAAAAAUUAGCGGAUGACUUGUGGCUAGGGGUGAAAGGCCAAUCAAACCUGGAGAUAGCUGGUUCUCCCCGAAAGCUAUUUAGGUAGCGCCUCGGACGAAUACUACUGGGGGUAGAGCACUGUUAAGGCUAGGGGGUCAUCCCGACUUACCAACCCUUUGCAAACUCCGAAUACCAGUAAGUACUAUCCGGGAGACACACGGCGGGUGCUAACGUCCGUCGUGGAGAGGGAAACAACCCAGACCGCCAGCUAAGGUCCCAAAUUACUACUAAGUGGGAAACGAUGUGGGAAGGCUCAGACAGCCAGGAUGUUGGCUUAGAAGCAGCCAUCAUUUAAAGAAAGCGUAAUAGCUCACUGGUCGAGUCGGCCUGCGCGGAAGAUGUAACGGGGCUAAGUAGUAAACCGAAGCUGCGGCAAUGUGCUUUUGCACAUUGGGUAGGGGAGCGUUCUGUAAGCGGUUGAAGGUGUGUGGUAACGCAUGCUGGACGUAUCAGAAGUGCGAAUGCUGACAUGAGUAACGAUAAAGGGGGUGAAAAACCUCCUCGCCGGAAGACCAAGGGUUCCUGUCCAACGUUAAUCGGGGCAGGGUAAGUCGACCCCUAAGGCGAGGCCGAAAGGCGUAGUCGAUGGGAAACGGGUUAAUAUUCCCGUACUUCUUACAAUUGCGAUGGGGGGACGGAGAAGGCUAGGUGGGCCUGGCGACGGUUGUCCAGGUUCAAGUGCGUAGGCUUAAGAGUUAGGUAAAUCCGGCUCUUUCUAAGGCUGAGACACGACGUCGAGCACCUACGGGUGUGAAGUCAUUGAUGCCAUGCUUCCAGGAAAAGCCUCUAAGCUUCAGAUUGUAAGGAAUCGUACCCCAAACCGACACAGGUGGUCGGGUAGAGAAUACCAAGGCGCUUGAGAGAACUCGGGUGAAGGAACUAGGCAAAAUGGUACCGUAACUUCGGGAGAAGGUACGCUCUUGAUGGUGAAGUCCCUCGCGGAUGGAGCUGACGAGAGUCGCAGAUACCAGGUGGCUGCAACUGUUUAUUAAAAACACAGCACUGUGCAAAAUCGUAAGAUGACGUAUACGGUGUGACGCCUGCCCGGUGCCGGAAGGUUAAUUGAUGGGGUUAGACUUCGGUCGAAGCUCUUGAUCGAAGCCCCGGUAAACGGCGGCCGUAACUAUAACGGUCCUAAGGUAGCGAAAUUCCUUGUCGGGUAAGUUCCGACCUGCACGAAUGGCGUAAUGAUGGCCACGCUGUCUCCACCCGAGACUCAGUGAAAUUGAAAUCGCUGUGAAGAUGCAGUGUACCCGCGGCUAGACGGAAAGACCCCGUGAACCUUUACUACAGCUUGGCACUGAACAUUGACCCUACAUGUGUAGGAUAGGUGGGAGGCUUUGAAGCACGUACGCCAGUAUGUGUGGAGCCGUCCUUGAAAUACCACCCUUGUAGUGUUGAUGUUCUAACGUCGACCCCUUAUCGGGGUUGCGGACAGUGCCUGGUGGGUAGUUUGACUGGGGCGGUCUCCUCCCAAAGAGUAACGGAGGAGCACGAAGGUGGGCUAAUCACGGUUGGACAUCGUGAGGUUAGUGCAAUGGCAUAAGCCCGCUUGACUGCGAGAAUGACAAUUCGAGCAGGUGCGAAAGCAGGUCAUAGUGAUCCGGUGGUUCUGAAUGGAAGGGCCAUCGCUCAACGGAUAAAAGGUACUCCGGGGAUAACAGGCUGAUACCGCCCAAGAGUUCAUAUCGACGGCGGUGUUUGGCACCUCGAUGUCGGCUCAUCACAUCCUGGGGCUGAAGUCGGUCCCAAGGGUAUGGCUGUUCGCCAUUUAAAGUGGUACGCGAGCUGGGUUUAGAACGUCGUGAGACAGUUCGGUCCCUAUCUGCCGUGGGCGUUGGAAGAUUGAAGGGGGCUGCUCCUAGUACGAGAGGACCGGAGUGGACGAACCUCUGGUGUUCGGGUUGUGUCGCCAGACGCAUUGCCCGGUAGCUAAGUUCGGAAUCGAUAACCGCUGAAAGCAUCUAAGCGGGAAGCGAGCCCUGAGAUGAGUCUUCCCUGAUACUUUAAGUAUCCUAAAGGGUUGUCGGAGACUACGACGUUGAUAGGUCAGGUGUGUAAGUGCUGUGAGGCAUUGAGCUAACUGAUACUAAUUGCCCGUGAGGCUUAACCAUACAACACCCAAGGGGUUU